ensembl:lncRNA
CUCAUAAUACUGGGGGGAAGGGAAAGGGUUCUGUUGUAGGUGGAGGGGAGAUGGGUUCUGUUGUGAUGAGGUGGAGGGGAGAUGGGUUCUGUUGUAGGUGGAGGGGAGAUGGGUUCUGUUGUAGGUGGAGGGGAGAUAGGUUCUGUUGUGAUGAGGUGGAGGGGAGAUGGGUUCUGUUGUAGGUGGAGGGGAGAUGGGUUCUGUUGUGAUGAGGUGGAGGGGAGAUGGGUUCGGUGACAUGUGACGUCAGGACUGGUAGAUGAGGGCGGCAGAGCCAUCUAUACUCCAGAAAACGAAGCAUUUCAGAAAGUUAAUUGUCAUUCAGGAG